AGAAACUUAGGUUAAUCUAAACCUGAAACCUUCAAAGUUUCAAAUAUGAGCGAAACCACUCUUAGUUUCUG
rnacentral:tRNA from 1 species